rnacentral:tRNA from 1 species
AAACUAAACUAUUCUUUGUG